rnacentral:rRNA from 1 species
UAGGGAAUCUUCCACAAUGGACGCAAGUCUGAUGGAGCAACGCCGCGUGAGUGAAGAAGGUCUUCGGAUCGUAAAGCUCUGUUGUUGGUGAAGAAGGAUAGAGGCAGUAACUGGUCUUUAUUUGACGGUAAUCAACCAGAAAGUCACGGCUAACUACGUGCCAGCAGCCGCGGUAAUACGUAGGUGGCAAGCGUUGUCCGGAUUUAUUGGGCGUAAAGCGAGCGCAGGCGGAAUGAUAAGUCUGAUGUGAAAGCCCACGGCUCAACCGUGGAACUGCAUCGGAAACUGUCAUUCUUGAGUGCAGAAGAGGAGAGUGGAACUCCAUGUGUAGCGGUGGAAUGCGUAGAUAUAUGGAAGAACACCAGUGGCGAAGGCGGCUCUCUGGUCUGCAACUGACGCUGAGGCUCGAAAGCAUGGGUAGCGAACAGGAUUAGAUACCCUGGUAGUCCAUGCCGUAAACGAUGAGCGCUAGGUGUUGGGGACUUUCCGGUU